UGGGGUUUCCACGGGUGGGGUGAACACUCAGGACUGGCUGGUUUGAAUGAUUUCCUUGGGCUUUGGGCAAUAGGCAUGGUCCUGGUUGAAGGCAGAGGAAUCUUGCCUCCUGGGUGCAGGGCAGAUGGAGGAGGCCUGGCUCUGGGUGGUUGGUGGGCGUAUCGACGACAGGCCCCCAACUGGGCCCUUUGCUGUCUCUGAAGAUUCGCUAGCUCGGAGGGGCAGUGUCUCCCCAGCCAGGAAGGUUUCUAAGAGGUGAAAACAGCAUAAUAUACAGAACAACAUAAAAACCACGAUUCGUAUUCUCUCUCUGAGAACAGUGUUUUAUGCCUUCUUUUUUCUCAGCUCUGGCUUAGCAAACACUGCCUCUAUCUCCUGCCGUAUUUCAUGGAGAAAACAGCCAUGCUUCAUCUUCCUAACGCCAGACUGGCAACAUCCCCGCAGAGGCCUCCUCCUCCUUGCCUCCCAUUCUGUCUGAGGACAACUUGUUCCUCUUUUGCCCACGUACUGCUCUGGAUGGACCCCAGUCGCCGUCCCAAGGCUUCCUCUCUGAGGGGCCUCUCCUCUUGGAUUUCAACAAUGAACCCUUCUGUUCUCCUGCAUAGCACUUGUCACAGCUUGUCAUUGUCCUAUUUAAUUAUUUAUAAUCAAAACCAAUGAUUAGAAACACAUUUAAUUGUUAAUAAAAUUGAUCACUACUCAAUAAAGCACAUGUGAACCCAGCAAUUUAUUAUUUAUUUUUAGCCCGUCCUACUUAACCCGCAAGUUCCUUGAGGACGCAAACCAACUCUGAGGUUUUCAUUUUUGGUUCCCGGUGCUUUCAUGGGGCUGGUGGAUCAGCUAUGAUGCGGGUUCAGCUGCGCCUGACAGACUGCCAUCAACAGAGCUUCAGCAGAAACAUUCUCAGAGACACACCCAGAAAUGCUGUGUUCCCAGCUCUCUGGGCAGCGCAUGGCUCAGUGAAGUCGACACAUGAAAUCAGCCAUCACAGAGGCAGUUCAAACGACCCUGAGUCCUUUCCCACCCCCGCGUUUCUGGGUCUGGAUUCUCACCGUAGAGCCAGCACGAUUGAUGAAACGCUCAGCAGCGGCUCUACUGGCUGUGAAAUGACGUGACUCCUGUCUUCUCCACGAUCUGCCUGGAACCGUGGAGCCCAUCCUCAGGCCUGUGAAGCGCAGGGCAUCAUCCGAUACCACCCUCUGCUGGGGACACAGAGCAUUACACCUGUCAGCCAAAAGGGAAGAAAAUACUCAGCACAUGGGAUUAGGGAAAUAUCAAAAUAUUUUAAAUGACAUCACAGCUACUAUAAAAUAAAUGGGGCAUGUCAGUUAUUUUCAAAACCUUCUUAUGCACAUUUAAUAUUAUUUAAAGAGCAUAUACACAAUAAAUACUUGUU